AACGAACGCUGGCGGCAUGCCUAACACAUGCAAGUCGAACGAGACCUUCGGGUCUAGUGGCGCACGGGUGCGUAACGCGUGGGAACCUGCACUUAGGUUCGGCAUAACUCCCCGACAGGGGUGCUAAUACCGGAUAAUGUCUUCGGACCAAAGAUUUAUCGCCUCUGGAUGGGCCCGCGUUGGAUUAGCUAGUUGGUAAGGUAAAAGCCUACCAAGGCAACGAUGCAGAGCUGGUCUGAGAGGGUGAUCAGCCACACUGGGACUGAGACACGGCCCAGAGGAAUACGGGAGGCAGCAGGAGGGAAUCGUAUGCAAUGGGUGGAAGAUUGACGGAGGAACGCCGAGGGAGUGAUGAAGGUAUUGGGAGCGUAAAAAUCUGUUAGGAGGGAAGAACAAAUGUGUAAGUAAAUGUGAAGGUCGGGACGGUAAUGAAUAAGAAAGCAAAGGCUAACUACGUG
rnacentral:rRNA from 1 species